rnacentral:rRNA from 1 species
UACAGAGGCCUCGAGCGUUAGGCGGAAUCACUGGGCUUAAAGCGUGUGUAGGCGGACCCCUAAGUACCUUGUGAAAUCCCACGGCUCACCCGUGGAACGGCUCGGUAUACUGGGGGUCUUGAGCCACCUAGGGGCUACCGGAACAAAUGGUGGAGCGGUGAAAUGCGUAGAUAUCAUUUGGAACGCCAACGGAGAAAUCAGGUAGCUGGGGGUGUGCUGACGCUGAGACACGAAAGCCAGGGGAGCGAACGGG